rnacentral:rRNA from 1 species
UGCAAGUCGAGGGGCAGCGGGAGUAGCAAUACUUGCCGGCGACCGGCGCACGGGUGCKUAACACGUAUAUAAUCUACCUAAAACAGGAGGAUAGCCCGAAGAAAUUCGGAUUAAUACUCCAUAACAUUGCGAGAUGGCAUCAUUUUGCAAUUAAAGCUCCGGCGGUUUUGGAUGAGUAUGCGUUCGAUUAGCUAGUUGGUGAGGUAACGGCUCACCAAGGCUACGAUCGAUAGGGGUACUGAGAGGUUACMCCCCCACACUGGUACUGAGACACGGACCAGACUCCUACGGGAGGCAGCAGUAAGGAAUAUUGGACAAUGGUCGCAAGACUGAUCCAGCCAUGCCGCGUGCAGGAUGACUGCCCUAUGGGUUGUAAACUGCUUUUGUACGGGAAUAAACCCUUCUACGUGUAGAAGGCUGAAUGUACCGUARGAAUAAGGAUCGGCUWACUUCGUGCCAGCAGCCGCGGUAAGACGAAGGAUCCAAGCGUUAUCCGGAUUUAUUGGGUUUAAAGGGUGCGUAGGCGGACUGAUAAGUCAGUGGUGAAAGCCUGUUGCUUAACAACAGAACUGCCAUUGAUACUGUCAAUCUUGAAUAUGUUUGAUGUGGGCGGAAUAUGACAUGUAGCGGUGAAAUGCUUAKAUAUGUCAUAGRRSACCRAYUGCKAAGGCAKCUCAMAAAGCCMYUAUUGAMGCUGAKGCAYKAAAGCKUGKKGAUCARACMGGAUUAKAUACCCUGGUAGUCCR